UGGGGAAUAUUGGGCAAUGGGCGAAAGCCUGACCCAGCGACGCCGCGUGGGUGAUGAAGGCCUUCGGGUUGUAAAGCCCUUUCGUGCGGAACGAACAGUCUCGCGACUAAUACUCGCGGGAUUUGACGGUACCGCAGGAAGAAGCACCGGCUAACUCCGUGCCAGCAGCCGCGGUAAUACGGAGGGUGCAAGCGUUGUUCGGAAUUACUGGGCGUAAAGGGCGCGCAGGCGGUUGUGCAAGUCAGUUGUGAAAUCCCCCGGCUUAACCGGGGAACUGCAUCUGAAACUGCAUGACUCGAGUACAGAAGAGGGAAACGGAAUUCCCGGUGUAGAGGUGAAAUUCGUAGAUAUCGGGAGGAACACCAGUGGCGAAGGCGGUUUCCUGGUCUGAUACUGACGCUGAGGCGCGAAAGCGUGGGGAGCAAACAG
rnacentral:rRNA from 1 species